GAAAUGCGAUAAGUAAUGUGAAUUGCAGAAUUCCGUGAAUCAUCGAAUCUUUGAACGCACAUUGCGCCCUCUGGUAUUCCGGGGGGCAUGCCUGUCCGAGCGUCAUUGCACACCCUCAAGCGCGGCUUGUGUGUUGGGCCCCCGCGUCCUUGCCAUUUAAAGGACGGGCCCGAAAGGCAGUGGCGGCGUCGCGGUGAUCCGCUAAGCCAGAGCGUAUGGGGACGCUACAGUCACACGCUCGCGGCGCGGACCGGCGCUGGCCGACCCCCCUAACCAUUCUACGGUUUGACCUCGGAUCAGGUAGGGAUACCCGCUGAACUUAAGC
rnacentral:misc_RNA from 1 species